UACGAAGGGGGCUAGCGUUGCUCGGAAUUACUGGGCGUAAAGGGAGCGUAGGCGGAUAGUUAAGUCAGAGGUGAAAGCCCAGGGCUCAACCUUGGAAUUGCCUUUGAUACUGGCUAUCUUGAGUAUGGGAGAGGUUAGCGGAACUCCGAGUGUAGAGGUGAAAUUCGUAGAUAUUCGGAAGAACACCAGUGGCGAAGGCGGCUAACUGGCCCAUUACUGACGCUGAGGCUCGAAAGCGUGGGGGAGCAAACAGG
rnacentral:rRNA from 1 species